GUUGUAUGGUUAAGUGACUAAGCGUACACGGUGGAUGCCUUGGCAGUCAGAGGCGAUGAAAGACGUAGUAACUUGCGAUAAGCCCAGAUUAGGUAGUAACAACCAUUUGAGUCUGGGAUUUCUGAAUGGGGAAACCCACGUGCAUAAGCACGUAUCCUUACCUGAAUACAUAGGGUAAGGAGGCGAACCGGGGGAACUGAAACAUCUAAGUACCCCGAGGAAAAGAAAUCAACCGAGAUUCCGAAAGUAGCGGCGAGCGAAAUUGGACUAGCCCUUAAGCUUUACACACGUUAGACGAACGGUCUGGAAAGUCCGACGAUACAGGGUGAUAGUCCCGUAGUUGACGACGUGUGUUCAGUGAAAUCGAGUAGGGCGGGACACGUGAUAUCCUGUCUGAAUAUGGGGGGACCAUCCUCCAAGGCUAAAUACUACUGACUGACCGAUAGUGAACCAGUACCGUGAGGGAAAGGCGAAAAGAACCCCUGUGAGGGGAGUGAAAUAGAACCUGAAACCGUGUACGUACAAGCAGUAGGAGCAGGCUUUGUCCUGUGACUGCGUACCUUUUGUAUAAUGGGUCAGCGACUUAUAUUCAGUGGCAAGGUUAACCAUCUAGGGGAGCCGUAGGGAAACCGAGUCUUAACUGGGCGUUCAGUCUCUGGAUAUAGACCCGAAACCAGGUGAUCUAGCCAUGGGCAGGUUGAAGGUUGAGUAACAUCAACUGGAGGACCGAACCGACUAAUGUUGAAAAAUUAGCGGAUGACUUGUGGCUAGGGGUGAAAGGCCAAUCAAACCUGGAGAUAGCUGGUUCUCCCCGAAAGCUAUUUAGGUAGCGCCUCGGACGAAUACUACUGGGGGUAGAGCACUGUUAAGGCUAGGGGGUCAUCCCGACUUACCAACCCUUUGCAAACUCCGAAUACCAGUAAGUACUAUCCGGGAGACACACGGCGGGUGCUAACGUCCGUCGUGGAGAGGGAAACAACCCAGACCGCCAGCUAAGGUCCCAAAUUACUACUAAGUGGGAAACGAUGUGGGAAGGCUCAGACAGCCAGGAUGUUGGCUUAGAAGCAGCCAUCAUUUAAAGAAAGCGUAAUAGCUCACUGGUCGAGUCGGCCUGCGCGGAAGAUGUAACGGGGCUAAGUAGUAAACCGAAGCUGCGGCAAUAUACUUUUGUAUAUUGGGUAGGGGAGCGUUCUGUAAGCGGUUGAAGGUGUGUGGUAACGCAUGCUGGACGUAUCAGAAGUGCGAAUGCUGACAUGAGUAACGAUAAAGGGGGUGAAAAACCUCCUCGCCGGAAGACCAAGGGUUCCUGUCCAACGUUAAUCGGGGCAGGGUAAGUCGACCCCUAAGGCGAGGCCGAAAGGCGUAGUCGAUGGGAAACGGGUUAAUAUUCCCGUACUUCUUACAAUUGCGAUGGGGGGACGGAGAAGGCUAGGUGGGCCUGGCGACGGUUGUCCAGGUUCAAGUGCGUAGGCUUAAGAGUUAGGUAAAUCCGGCUCUUUUUAAGGCUGAGACACGACGUCGAGCACCUACGGGUGUGAAGUCAUUGAUGCCAUGCUUCCAGGAAAAGCCUCUAAGCUUCAGAUUGUAAGGAAUCGUACCCCAAACCGACACAGGUGGUCGGGUAGAGAAUACCAAGGCGCUUGAGAGAACUCGGGUGAAGGAACUAGGCAAAAUGGUACCGUAACUUCGGGAGAAGGUACGCUCUUGAUGGUGAAGUCCCUCGCGGAUGGAGCUGACGAGAGUCGCAGAUACCAGGUGGCUGCAACUGUUUAUUAAAAACACAGCACUGUGCAAAAUCGUAAGAUGACGUAUACGGUGUGACGCCUGCCCGGUGCCGGAAGGUUAAUUGAUGGGGUUAGACUUCGGUCGAAGCUCUUGAUCGAAGCCCCGGUAAACGGCGGCCGUAACUAUAACGGUCCUAAGGUAGCGAAAUUCCUUGUCGGGUAAGUUCCGACCUGCACGAAUGGCGUAAUGAUGGCCACGCUGUCUCCACCCGAGACUCAGUGAAAUUGAAAUCGCUGUGAAGAUGCAGUGUACCCGCGGCUAGACGGAAAGACCCCGUGAACCUUUACUACAGCUUGGCACUGAACAUUGACCCUACAUGUGUAGGAUAGGUGGGAGGCUUUGAAGCACGUACGCCAGUAUGUGUGGAGCCGUCCUUGAAAUACCACCCUUGUAGUGUUGAUGUUCUAACGU
rnacentral:rRNA from 1 species